GAUGAAGAACGCAGCGAAAUGCGAUAAGUAAUGUGAAUUGCAGAAUUCAGUGAAUCAUCGAAUCUUUGAACGCACAUUGCGCCCCUUGGUAUUCCGAGGGGCAUGCCUGUUCGAGCGUCAUUAUAACCCCUCAAGCUCAGCUUGGUGUUGGGGCCUGCUGCACUGGCAGCCCUUAAAAUCAGUGGCGGCGCCAUCUGGCUCUAAGCGUAGUAAUUCUUCUCGCUAUGGAGUCCUGGUGGAUGCUUGCCAUCAACCCCCAAUAUUUCUAUGGUUGACCUCGGAUCAGGUAGGGAUACCCGCUGAACUUAAGCAUAUCAAUAAGCGGAGGA
rnacentral:misc_RNA from 1 species